GGGAUUUGCACAAUGGGCGCAGCCUGUGCAGCGACGCCGCGUGAGGGAUGACGGCCUUCGGGUUGUAAACCUCUUUCAGCAGGGAAGAAGCGCAAGUGACGGUACCUGCAGAAGAAGCACCGGCUAACUACGUGCCAGCAGCCGCGGUAAUACGUAGGGUGCGAGCGUUGUCCGGAAUUAUUGGGCGUAAAGAGCUUGUAGGUGGUUUGUCGCGUCUGCUGUGAAAAUCCGGGGCUCAACCCCGGACUUGCAGUGGGUACGGGCAGACUAGAGUGUGGUAGGGGAGACUGGAAUUCCUGGUGUAGCGGUGGAAUGCGCAGAUAUCAGGAGGAACACCGAUGGCGAAGGCAGGUCUCUGGGCCAUUACUGACACUGAGAAGCGAAAGCAUGGGGAGCGAACAGGAUUAGAUACCCUGGUAGUCCAUGCCGUAAACGUUGGGAACUAGGUGUGGGUCUCAUUCCACGAGAUCCGUGCCGCAGCUAACGCAUUAAGUUCCCCGCCUGGGGAGUACGGCCGCAAGGCUAAAACUCAAAGAAAUUGACGGA
rnacentral:rRNA from 1 species